GGUAAGAUGGCUGAGUGUCUAUAAGCGUUAGGCUGUAGUCCUUUUUACAGGGGUUAAAUUCCCCUUCUUAUCG
rnacentral:tRNA from 1 species